GCUGUGGUGGGCUCCACCCAGUUCGAGCUUCCCAGCUGCUUUGUUUAUCUAAGCAAGCCUGGGCAAUGGUGGGCGCCCCUCCUCCAGCCUCGCUGCCGCCUUGCAGUUUGAUCUCAGACUGCUGUGCUAGCAAUCAGUGGGACUCCGUGGGCGUAGGACCCUCCGAGCCAGGUGUGGGAUAUAAUCUUGUGGUGCGCCAUUUUUUAAGCCUGUCGGAAAAGCGCAGUAUUGGGGUGGGAGUGACGCGAUUUUCUUGGAGCCGUCCGUCACCCCUUUCUUUGACUAGGAAAGGGAACUCCCUGACCCCUUGCGCUUCCCGAGUGAGGCAAUGCCUCGCCCUGCUUCGGCUGGCGCACGGUGGGCACACCCACUGACCUGCGCCCACUGUCUGGCACUCCCUAGUGAGAUGAACCCGUUACCUCAGAUGGAAAUGCAGAAAUCACCCGUCUUCUGAGUCGCUCACGCUGGGAGCUGUAGACCGGAGCUGUUCCUAUUUGGCCAUCUUGGCUCCUCAAAUAAGUUGUCUGUUUCUUUGAAAUCUCCCAAGGGGUUUGUGAAGGUACAUUUCAGAAGAUUUCGAAGUCCUGAGCGCUUAGCCGUGCAGGAACAAUGUUAUGAAGACCAGAAAUCUAAAAUAAAGGUGUUGGCAAGACCAUGUCCUCUCUGCAGCCUCUUGGGAAGAAUCCUUCCUUGCCUCCUCCUCUUCUGGUGGUUCUCAUUAUUCCUUGGCUUAUGGCAGAUGAUAUCUCUCUCCCUGCUGUGCUGCCCAGGCUUGGGGAAAAGGUAACACAGGUAAUGUAAAACUGUCCUUCCUAUCCUCUUCAAUGUGUCUUUUGUUAUUUCUGCACUGCAUCCAGGUGCUAGAAUCUCUCACCUGGAUUCUUUAGCUCUUGUGAAGAUAUUUUUGUGCAUUGGAUAGUUGUUCAAAUUGAUGUUUCUGCAAAGGGACAUGCAGUGGAAAGUCGUAUUCUGCCAUCUUACUGACAUCACUCUUAGUACUAAAUAUUUAGUCUCAAUCGUAAACUGCCUUAAAGUUUGUAACUGAAUGGGAAUCUGCUGCUUCUUAAAACGUGUCCGGUCCAAUGUUCCUAGUUCUGAACACUGAUCGUGAAAUUUGUGAGUGGAGAAUUUCUGGUUUGUCUUCAUUUCUUCAUUGCUCCAUGUGAUCAAAACUAGUGUUCGUUGACAGCAUAUCACCUCUUUCCGGGCCUGUCAUGACCAUCAGACUCAGCAAUGCUGCCAUCAUUUACAGAGACCAAACCCCAUUCCAGAGUUUUCCACUGUAGCAGUAAUUGUGAAGGGCAGAAAAGUAGUAAGGGCAUAGACCUACAACAAUCAGCAUUGCUAUGGUCCCUGAUAGAUACCUCUUUUUUUCACUACUUUAGGAUAAGGUCUGAAGAGCUGAGGAGAUAACAAAAGCUAUAACUCAGAGAACUGUAGCACCCACACAAGGAGAAACAGAAGUGUUUAAAACCCUAAAACCUUAUCUGAAUUGUAGUUAAAUCAUGAGUGUUGAUUUUUAAAAUUAUUGAGGAAGAUGGGAUUUUCAGGCAUUCUUGACAGUUUUCUUUUAUCUAAUAGACUGUUAAAGCUGGGAGGAAUGAACAAGCCUGAUUCCUUCAUUUAAUUGGAGAGGAAACAGAAGCUCAGUGAGCAAAAAUAACUUGUCCAGAAUAUAACUAAUUGGUGUAUAUCUUAGCCUAGUUUACCCCCAAAAGCACAGUCUGGGGCCAGGGCUUACAUGCCAGUUGCACAUUUUAGAAAAUUAUCCCAAAGAAUAGGAAAGGGGCCCUGGGAAAAGUGUAGUAGAGAAGGAAAGAAUGCUAGUUUCUGUCCCUGUUAUCAAGGGUUUCCCCAUGGGGUGCUAACUCCCUCAUACUUCCUGGCUUCUGAGCAUCAAUAUGGCUGAGCAGGUGCCCCAGGGCAGACAGGAAAAGAUGCACAAUAUGCCACUGAGGAGAGAUGCUCCAGUGUUUUACCCACUCCCCCACCCAUCACUGACCAAUGGGGAAAGCUGUGAGCAAAGGGUGAAACGCAGGUCACAAUAUGGAAUUCAAAUUCACUAGUAUUAAUGCUUGUUAUAAAAUAUUGCCUUUCAAAUAGGACUGCCAGAAUUCCAGACUACUGAACGAUAAGAUGAUGGGGACUUUAUUUUUGCCAACUCAAGUACACAGCUGACCUCAAUCAUCAGUCUCAUUUUUCAUUUGUCUCAAGACAUGAAA
rnacentral:lncRNA from 10 species